rnacentral:tRNA from 2 species
UCCCGUGUGGUCUAGUGGUUAGGAUUUAUGGCUUUCACCCAUGCGGCCCGGGUUCGAUUCCCGGCACGGGAC